rnacentral:rRNA from 1 species
AUUGAACGCUGGCGGCAGGCCUAACACAUGCAAGUCGAACGAGUGGCGGACGGGUGAGUAAUGUAUGGGAAACUGCCCGAUGGAGGGGGAUAACUACUGGAAACGGUAGCUCAUACCGCAUACCAUCAGAUGUGCCCAUAUGGGAUUAGCUAGUUGGUGGGGUAACGGCUCACCAAGGCGACGAUCCCUAGCUGGUCUGAGAGGAUGACCAGCCACACUGUAACUGAGACACGGUCCAGACUCCUACGGUAGGCAGCAGUGGGGAAUAUUGCACAAUGGGCGCAAGCCUGAUGCAGCCAUGCCGCGUGUAUGAAGAAGGCCUUCGGGUUGUAAAGUACUGUCAGCGAGGAGGCGUUACUCGCAGAAGAAGCACCGGCUAACUCCGUUCCAGCAGCCGCGGUAAUUC